GGGUUGUGAGGUUAAGCGACCAAGCGUACACGGUGGAUGCCCUGGCAGUCAGAGGCGAUGAAGGACGUGCUAAUCUGCGAAAAGCGCCGGUAAGGUGAUAUGAACCGUUAUAACCGGCGAUGUCCGAAUGGGGAAACCCAGUGUGACUCGUCACACUAUCAUUAACUGAAUCCAUAGGUUAAUGAGGCGAACCGGGGGAACUGAAACAUCUAAGUACCCCGAGGAAAAGAAAUCAACCGAGAUUCCCCCAGUAGCGGCGAGCGAACGGGGAGGAGCCCAGAGCCUGAAUCAGCAUGUGUGUUAGUGGAAGCGUCUGGAAAGGCGCGCGAUACAGGGUGAGAGCCCCGUACACAAAAGCGCACAUGCUGUGAGCUCGAUGAGUAGGGCGGGACACGUGGUAUCCUGUCUGAAUAUGGGGGGACCAUCCUCCAAGGCUAAAUACUCCUGACUGACCGAUAGUGAACCAGUACCGUGAGGGAAAGGCGAAAAGAACCCCGGCGAGGGGAGUGAAACAGAACCUGAAACCGUGUACGUACAAGCAGUGGGAGCCUCUCUUUAUGGGGGGUGACUGCGUACCUUUUGUAUAAUGGGUCAGCGACUUAUAUUCUGUAGCAAGGUUAACCGCAUAGGGGAGCCGAAGGGAAACCGAGUCUUAAUUGGGCGUUAAGUUGCAGGGUAUAGACCCGAAACCCGGUGAUCUAGCCAUGGGCAGGUUGAAGGUUGGGUAACACUAACUGGAGGACCGAACCGACUAAUGUUGAAAAAUUAGCGGAUGACCUGUGGCUGGGGGUGAAAGGCCAAUCAAACCGGGAGAUAGCUGGUUCUCCCCGAAAGCUAUUUAGGUAGCGCCUCGUGAAUUCAUCUCCGGGGGUAGAGCACUGUUUCGGCUAGGGGGCCAUCCCGGCUUACCAACCCGAUGCAAACUGCGAAUACCGGAGAAUGUUAUCACGGGAGACACACGGCGGGUGCUAACGUCCGUCGUGAAGAGGGAAACAACCCAGACCGCCAGCUAAGGUCCCAAAGUCAUGGUUAAGUGGGAAACGAUGUGGGAAGGCCCAGACAGCCAGGAUGUUGGCUUAGAAGCAGCCAUCAUUUAAAGAAAGCGUAAUAGCUCACUGGUCGAGUCGGCCUGCGCGGAAGAUGUAACGGGGCUAAACCAUGCACCGAAGCUGCGGCAGCGACACUUUAGUGUUGUUGGGUAGGGGAGCGUUCUGUAAGCCGUUGAAGGUGUCCUGUGAGGGGUGCUGGAGGUAUCAGAAGUGCGAAUGCUGACAUAAGUAACGAUAAAGCGGGUGAAAAGCCCGCUCGCCGGAAGACCAAGGGUUCCUGUCCAACGUUAAUCGGGGCAGGGUGAGUCGACCCCUAAGGCGAGGCCGAAAGGCGUAGUCGAUGGGAAACGGGUUAAUAUUCCCGUACUUGGUGUUACUGCGAAGGGGGGACGGAGAAGGCUAUGUUGGCCGGGCGACGGUAGUCCCGGUUUAAGCGUGUAGGCUGGUUUUCCAGGCAAAUCCGGAAAAUCAAGGCUGAGGCGUGAUGACGAGGCACCACGGUGCUGAAGCAACAAAUGCCCUGCUUCCAGGAAAAGCCUCUAAGCAUCAGGUAACAUCAAAUCGUACCCCAAACCGACACAGGUGGUCAGGUAGAGAAUACCAAGGCGCUUGAGAGAACUCGGGUGAAGGAACUAGGCAAAAUGGUGCCGUAACUUCGGGAGAAGGCACGCUGACACGUAGGUGAAGUGAUUUACUCAUGGAGCUGAAGUCAGUCGAAGAUACCAGCUGGCUGCAACUGUUUAUUAAAAACACAGCACUGUGCAAACACGAAAGUGGACGUAUACGGUGUGACGCCUGCCCGGUGCCGGAAGGUUAAUUGAUGGGGUCAGCGCAAGCGAAGCUCCUGAUCGAAGCCCCGGUAAACGGCGGCCGUAACUAUAACGGUCCUAAGGUAGCGAAAUUCCUUGUCGGGUAAGUUCCGACCUGCACGAAUGGCGUAAUGAUGGCCAGGCUGUCUCCACCCGAGACUCAGUGAAAUUGAACUCGCUGUGAAGAUGCAGUGUACCCGCGGCAAGACGGAAAGACCCCGUGAACCUUUACUAUAGCUUGACACUGAACAUUGAGCCUUGAUGUGUAGGAUAGGUGGGAGGCUUUGAAGCGUGGACGCCAGUCUGCGUGGAGCCGACCUUGAAAUACCACCCUUUAAUGUUUGAUGUUCUAACGUGGACCCGUAAUCCGGGUUGCGGACAGUGUCUGGUGGGUAGUUUGACUGGGGCGGUCUCCUCCUAAAGAGUAACGGAGGAGCACGAAGGUUGGCUAAUCCUGGUCGGACAUCAGGAGGUUAGUGCAAUGGCAUAAGCCAGCUUGACUGCGAGCGUGACGGCGCGAGCAGGUGCGAAAGCAGGUCAUAGUGAUCCGGUGGUUCUGAAUGGAAGGGCCAUCGCUCAACGGAUAAAAGGUACUCCGGGGAUAACAGGCUGAUACCGCCCAAGAGUUCAUAUCGACGGCGGUGUUUGGCACCUCGAUGUCGGCUCAUCACAUCCUGGGGCUGAAGUAGGUCCCAAGGGUAUGGCUGUUCGCCAUUUAAAGUGGUACGCGAGCUGGGUUUAGAACGUCGUGAGACAGUUCGGUCCCUAUCUGCCGUGGGCGCUGGAGAAUUGAGGGGGGCUGCUCCUAGUACGAGAGGACCGGAGUGGACGCAUCACUGGUGUUCGGGUUGUCAUGCCAAUGGCACUGCCCGGUAGCUAAAUGCGGAAAAGAUAAGUGCUGAAAGCAUCUAAGCACGAAACUUGCCCCGAGAUGAGUUCUCCCUGAGACUUUGAGUCUCCUGAAGGAACGUUAAAGACGAUGACGUUGAUAGGCCGGGUGUGUAAGCGCAGCGAUGCGUUGAGCUAACCGGUACUAAUGAACCGUGAGGCUUAACCUUACAACGCCGAAGCUGUU
rnacentral:rRNA from 1 species